GUGAAUUUCAUUCUUUGUCCCUUUUUCUCAAAUUUUUAAGAAGAUGGAAAAUGUAUUGUCACUUCUGGUUUUACUCGCUCUCUCGCCCUGUGCCCGGUCCCAAAUCCAGCUGGUCCAGUCCGGGCCAGGCGUGGUGAAGCCCGGAGAGACCCUCUCACUGACCUGCACCGUGUCUGGUUACUCCAUUUCUUCUGGUUACGACUGGAGCUGGAUCCGGCAGGCUCCUGGGAAAGGCUUAGAAUAUAUGGGGCAUACAUACGGACCUAGCCAGGGCACCAACUACGCCCCGGCUUUCCAGAGCCGAAUCACCAUCGCCAUAGAUUCCUCCAAGAACCAGUUCUCCCUGCAGCUCCGCUCGCUGACAGCUGCAGACACCGGCACCUAUUACUGCGCCAGGGGAUACACAGUGACACAGAGCAGAGCAGGGCCCGACCCCGGGCGAAUCACCAGACCAAUACACAGCUGUGUUGAGCUGAGCACGGUCUCUCUGGGGGACAGCACCAUGUACUGA